UUAGCGGCGGACGGGUGAGUAACACGUGGGUAACCUGCCUGUAAGACUGGGAUAACAUUCGGAAACGAAUGCUAAUACCGGAUACGCGGCUUGGUCGCAUGACCGAGCCGGGAAAGAUGGAGCAAUCUAUCACUUAUAGAUGGACCCGCGGCGCAUUAGCUAGUUGGUGAGGUAACGGCUCACCAAGGCGACGAUGCGUAGCCGACCUGAGAGGGUGAUCGGCCACACUGGGACUGAGACACGGCCCAGACUCCUACGGGAGGCAGCAGUAGGGAAUCUUCCGCAAUGGACGAAAGUCUGACGGAGCAACGCCGCGUGAGUGAUGAAGGUUUUCGGAUCGUAAAGCUCUGUUGCCAGGGAAGAAUGCUUGGGAGAGUAACUGCUCUCAAGGUGACGGUACCUGAGAAGAAAGCCCCGGCUAACUA
rnacentral:rRNA from 2 species